CGCCUGAGGGUGUUAGAAACAAGCCAGAGAAAACUAAAGCCCAGAGAAGAGCCCUAGGAUAGCCUAUUUCCUGAGUACCCCGAGUGUGCCAGGUGAAGAGAGACGGAUAAUAACCGUGCUAGCCAGCACGUAUUAAGCCUUGCAAAGCUGCACGGGCAUGAACUUGUGGCUUCAACACAACCAUAUGAGGUAGGUGUUAUCCCCAUUUUACAGAGUAGAAUACCCAGUUAAUGUGAGACCAGCUGGGAAGUAAAAUCAAAUCUGA
rnacentral:lncRNA from 1 species